rnacentral:rRNA from 1 species
AUUGAACGCUAGCGGGAUGCUUUACACAUGCAAGUCGCACGAGCGGCGGACGGGUGAGUAAUGUAUGGGGACUGCCCGAUAGAGGGGGAUAAAUACUGGAAACGGUAGCUAAUACCGCAUACUAUCGGAUAACCCAUAUGGGAUUAGCUAGUAGGUGAGGUAAUGGCUAACCUAGGCGACGAUCCCUAGCUGGUCUGAGAGGAUGAUCAGCCACACGGGAACAGAGACACGGCCCAGACUCCUACGGAGGAAGCAGUGGGGAAUAUUGCACAAUGGGCGCAAGCCUGAUGCAGCCAUGCCGCGUGUAUGAAGAAGGCCCUAGGGUUGUAAAGUACUUUCAGUCGGGAGGCGUUACCGGCAGAAGAAGCACCGGCUAACUCCGUGCCAGCAGCCGCGGUAAUAC